rnacentral:rRNA from 1 species
CGAGAUAAGAUUUCCCAUUACGUAAGUAAGUAAGAUCCCUGAAAGAUGAUCAGGUAGAUAGGAUGGAAGUGGAAGUGCUGUGAGGCAUGGAGCGGACCAUUACUAAUCGAUCGAGGACUUAACCAAG